rnacentral:rRNA from 1 species
GACGAACGCUGGCGGCGUGCCUAACACAUGCAAGUCGAGCGAAGAUAUUUGGAGGAAGUUUUCGGAUGGAAUCCAGAUAUUUUAGCGGCGGACGGGUGAGUAACGCGUGAGCAACCUGCCUUUCACAGGGGGAUAAGACGGCGAAAGCCGUUCUAAUACCGCAUGAGACCACAGAGUUGAUAUUUCAGGGGUCAAAGGAGCAAUCCGGUGAAAGAUGGGCUCGCGUCCGAUGAGGUAGUUGGUGAGGUAACGGCCCACCAAGCCAAUGAACGGUGGCCGGCCUGAGAGGGUGAACGGCCACAAUGGAACUGGGUGUCGGUCCAAACUCCGACGGGAGGCAGCAGUGGGGAAUAUUGGGCAAUGGGGGAAACCCUGACCCAGCAACGCCGCGUGAGGGAAGAAGGUUUGCGGAUUGUAAACCUCUGUUCUUGGAGAAGAGAAGAAGACGGUAUCCAAGGAGGAAGCCCCGGCUAACUACGUGCCAGCCGCCGCGGUAA